rnacentral:rRNA from 1 species
UGGGGAAUAUUGGACAAUGGGGGGAACCCUGAUCCAGCCAUGCCGCGUGUGUGAAGAAGGCCUUAUGGUUGUAAAGCACUUUAAGCGAGGAGGAGGGUACUGGUAUUAAUACUACCAGCUACUGGACGUUACUCGCAGAAUACGCACCGGCUAACUCUGUGCCAGCAGCCGCGGUAAUACAGAGGGUGCGAGCGUUAAUCGGAUUUACUGGGCGUAAAGCGUGCGUAGGCGGCUAAUUGAGUCGGAUGUGAAAUCCCCGAGCUUAACUUGGGAAUUGCAUUCGAUACUGGUUAGCUAGAGUGUGGGAGAGGAUGGUAGAAUUCCAGGUGUAGCGGUGAAAUGCGUAGAGAUCUGGAGGAAUACCGAUGGCGAAGGCAGCCAUCUGGCCUAACACUGACGCUGAGGUACGAAAGCAUGGGGAGCAAACAGG